UACGUAGGGGGCAAGCGUUGUCCGGAUUUAUUGGGCGUAAAGAGCGUGUAGGCGGCCAGACAGGUCCGUUGUGAAAACUCGAGGCUCAACCUCGAGACGCCGAUGGAAACCGUUUGGCUAGAGUCCGGAAGAGGAGAGUGGAAUUCCUGGUGUAGCGGUGAAAUGCGCAGAUAUCAGGAAGAACACCAGUGGCGAAGGCGGCUCUCUAGUACGGUACUGACGCUGAGACGCGAAAGCGUGGGGAGCGAACAGG
rnacentral:rRNA from 1 species